rnacentral:lncRNA from 1 species
CGAUUUGGGCGAUUCAAAAGGCAAAGUUGUGAGAUUUUUCGACGACAACGCGUUGGUGAGCUCGGAUAGUGGUUUGGGGUUCCCGUUUGAGGUAAUUUCGCGAAAAACCUGACUGCUGUACCUUUUUCGAGUCCUUGUUUUUGGAAUUUUUGUUUUGGUCAUAUCUCACUCAUUUUGGAUAGUGGUUUGGGGUUCCCAUUUGAGGUAAUUUCACAAUUAAACCUGACUGCAGUGCCUUUUUCGAGCAUUUGUUUUUGGUAUUAUUGUUUUGAUCAUAUCUCACUCAUUUUAGCUCGAUUUUGGGUGAUUCGAAGUCCCACAUGUUGAGGAUUGUCAUGACUUCGUUGUAGAGUGUUCAAGGAGUGCUGGGCACCUUUCGAUUCUCAUUUAUUCUGAGUUUUGACUGCUGCUGUAGGGUUUCUUUUAGUUAUUAAAGUGUGGUUUCUUGCUUGUUGGUUUUUGCUAUGUUUUGAGCCUCGGAUUGUGUUCCAUUUUGGAACACAAGUUUGGAGUGCUAUUUGGGGUCACUUGACGGAGUGAAAUUCGGACAGUUCGGUGUGGGUCCCACGAUUCCCGUUUUGACUCCAAAAUUGACCCAUCUCCGUUUGUUGUGAUUUUGGUGUCUAAAUGACCGUAGUAACGUUGUAAAUCUAUUUUUGAUAGCGGGGCAGCGUUUCGAGACUGUUCGAAAAGGGAAAGCUCCGGUAAAGUGAUUGGAGAGCGCAGAGUUGGCCUUAAGGUAGGCUACGGCUUCCUUUCUUUUAGAUUGAGCUUAAUUGUGUAAAAACAUGUCGAUUGGAGUGAAUUGGGGGUGGGUACCAGUUUACUACCUUAGUUUGAUUAGAUACCUUGUGUUAGAAUCGAUUGGCCACAGUUCGGGUAUAGUAUCAUGUUAACCGGUUUAGUAGAGUUGCAUACUUAUGUGCUAAAUGCUAUUGUAUGCUUGUAUGUUAUGUAUUGCAUGCCUUGUUCAUCCUUAAACGUAAGCAUGAUGUCCUUAGUCUAGGUUAACCUAGCAUUGCCUUAGACUUAUGACAUGUGUGGGCUGGAUAGCCUUGACUUGCUGCCGAUGUCGUUCGGAUGACUUAGCUCCUUGUAGACUGGAAUAGCAGACUUGAGUCUGAUAGUUUGAGCCUUAGAUUAGGCGUUAUCGCUACUUGCUGCACUUAUGUAUCUUCUCCCUCUUAUUCUGCGGUUCCGACGCAUUCUCGAAGGUUUGGUGCAUCCCUCGAGGCGUGGGAUUGAGAUAGUAUAGGAUUGGAUCCUUUUAUGUGAUAUCUUAGAGUGGACGGCGUUCCACGGUGGUUGUUGUUGGAUUGAAUCCUAUUGGAGAUACCAUCACCCCCGGGGUCGUUCUUUCUAGCCUAGGCUGGGAACGUAUCGUUGGCUGGGUAGACUCGGUGAUAUCGGCGAUCGCCCCCGGGCCUCUCUUUCUAGCUGGGCUGGGAGUGUACUGCUGGCUGGGUGGAGUCUGAUGGAUUAUCUUAGUUACUUUGGGUUGGGAACCCGGUUUUCUUCUUUCUCAGUAGACUUAGCCUUGCUGUGUACCUGUCGGGCUUAUGGGGGUCUGGGUCUUCUUUCUAGCUGGGCUGGGAGUGGACUGUUUGGUUGGGUGCCCCCUAGGGUCACUCUUUCUAGCUGGGCUGGGAGUGUACUGCUGGCUGGGUGUAGUCUGAUGGAUUAUCUUAGUUACUUUGGGUUGGGAGCCCGGUUUUCUUCUUUCUCAGUAGACUUAACCUUGCUGUGUACCUGUCGGGCUUAUGGGGGUCCGUUCAGGUUUUAUUUAAACUUGCGAACGAGUGUACCUUCUGGGCUUAUGGGGGUCCAGUUAGGUUUAGUUUAGUUGUACUUAGUUUGUUUCUGGUAUGCUCGUGUGCUUUCUUUUUUUACCGCUUUGACCUCUCUGUGUCUAGAUUCUAUCCUUUCUUAUUGUUUUUACCCUUUUUGCUCAGUCGGCCUAUGACGCCUACUGAGUACCUGUUGUGUUGGUACUCAUGCUACGCUCUGCAUCUAUUUCGUGAUGCAGGUCCCAGUACCAGUUAUCAGCGGUGAUUAGUUCCAGCCUUCUUUUGCAGCUGUGAUUCUGAGACGAGGGCGAGCACUUGGUGUUUUGGGGUUUGUUCUGUCUCCUUCUUUUGUUUUAGCUAGUCUUGUUGCCUUUGAGACACGCUCUGUUGUGGUCCACUUUUGGGACUUGUACUCUUUAUUAGAUAGCUCUGUACUAGUGACUUCCAGGUUCUGGGAGGGAUUUCUGUAUAUAUUUAUUUUGGGUUGCUUCCGCCUUGUUAUCCUUGUUUUAGAUUAUUGUUUUCGCUAGUUUCUGCCCUUUUGCUCAUUGCUUGAUGUUCUG